rnacentral:rRNA from 1 species
AGUGAACGCUGGCGGUAGGCCUAACACAUGCAAGUCGAACGGCAGCACAGUAAGAGCUUGCUCUUACGGGUGGCGAGUGGCGGACGGGUGAGGAAUACAUCGGAAUCUACUUUUUCGUGGGGGAUAACGUAGGGAAACUUACGCUAAUACCGCAUACAACCUACGGGUGAAAGCAGGGGAUCUUCGGACCUUGCGCGAUUGAAUGAGCCGAUGUCGGAUUAGCUAGUUGGCGGGGUAAAGGCCCACCAAGGCGACGAUCCGUAGCUGGCCUGAGAGGAUGAUCAGCCACACUGGAACUGAGACACGGUCCAGACUCCUACGGGAGGCAGCAGUGGGGAAUAUUGGACAAUGGGCGCAAGCCUGAUCCAGCCAUACCGCGUGGGUGAAGAAGGCCUUCGGGUUGUAAAGCCCUUUUGUUGGGAAAGAAAAGCAGCAGGUUAAUACCCCGCUGUUCUGACGGUACCCAAAGAAUAAGCACCGGCUAACUUCGUG